CAGUCGCCGCGGGAAUACGUAGGGUGCAAGCGUUAAUCGGAAUUACUGGGCGUAAAGCGUGCGCAGGCGGUUAUUCAAGACAGAUGUGAAAUCCCCGGGCUCAACCUGGGAACUGCAUUUGUGACUGGAUGACUAGAGUACGGCAGAGGGGGAUGGAAUUCCGCGUGUAGCAGUGAAAUGCGUAGAUAUGCGGAGGAACACCGAUGGCGAAGGCAAUCCCCUGGGCCUGUACUGACGCUCAUGCACGAAAGCGUGGGGAGCAAACAGGAUUAGAUACCCCCGUAGUCCCUGUCUCUUAUAC
rnacentral:rRNA from 1 species